AUGCAUCUAUUUGACAGACCUGGAGCAGUUACUGUCUGCUGCCAAGGUUCCCAUUUUGAGAUGCAAGAAAAAAGUGUCCUCGCGCUUUCUGUCUGUCUCAUUUUGGCAGCCAAGAUUGAAUGGGGGAGUACAAGC